GACGAACGCUGGCGGCGUGCUUAACACAUGCAAGUCGAACGGAAAGGCCCUGCUUUUGUGGGGUGCUCGAGUGGCGAACGGGUGAGUAACACGUGAGUAACCUGCCCUUGACUUUGGGAUAACUUCAGGAAACUGGGGCUAAUACCGGAUAGGAGCUCCUGCUGCAUGGUGGGGGUUGGAAAGUUUCGGCGGUUGGGGAUGGACUCGCGGCUUAUCAGCUUGUUGGUGGGGUAGUGGCUUACCAAGGCUUUGACGGGUAGCCGGCCUGAGAGGGUGACCGGCCACAUUGGGACUGAGAUACGGCCCAGACUCCUACGGGAGGCAGCAGUGGGGAAUAUUGCACAAUGGGCGGAAGCCUGAUGCAGCAACGCCGCGUGCGGGAUGACGGCCUUCGGGUUGUAAACCGCUUUCGCUUGUGACGAAGCGUGAGUGACGGUAAUGGGUAAAGAAGCACCGGCUAACUACGUG
rnacentral:rRNA from 1 species